AAAGGGACUUUAAAGGGUAGUCUAGUUUCAAGCCCCCUAGGUCAAGGGCAGGGACACCUUCUGCUAGACCAGGUUGCUCAUAUUCCCAUCUAGCCAGGCCUUGAACAUACCGGAGGUGGGACACGUCUCUAUGGGCAACUGGUUUCCAGUGCCUCACCACCUCACCUUCCUAAAUAUUAGGAAGGAAGCACUAUUCCUCCCUAAUAUUUAAUUGAAUCCUGCCCUCUGUCAGUCUAAAGCCAUUCCCCUUUGCCCUAUCACGACAUUCUUGUGUACAAAGUCCCUCUCAGCAAGGCUAUUUCCGCUGCUCUAGUAUUGACACUUGUAGGGAUUUGACUUCAUUCCAUGGGAUACAGUUAAUAACACAAGCAGAUGUGAAGAAGUGUCACAGGCAGCUGCGAGAAAGCAGCUGUCAGCUGAGACCUGUGGUGGUACCAGAGAACUGGAGAAUUGCAGUGCUGCAAAUAUCCUCCCUUCUCUUUCCUGGUGUCCCGGUUCUCUCCAGGUUCCCAAUGCAGAUGUGUAUCUCACGCAGAACUAACUCCUUCUCUGACGCCACUUGAGUUAAUGUCCCUUGGAGUCCUGUGGUGGGAACAUGACCACUGUGCUCUUCAGGGCCUCUUUGGGCCUGACAUCCUUCUCCCCUCUUCCACUGCUUUCUUCCCAGUUACAGGCCUUACCUUUCCUCACAACUCCUACUUAUCCUGUUUCUUUAUGCCAUUUUUGUCUCUUUGCCUCAGCCUACUCUCAUUCCCUGCUGGCUCUGCCUAAGCCCAGUUCUCUGCCUGUGGGCACAAUACGACUUCCUUCAGUCCCCCUAAGUCACAUUUCUAGAGCCAGAGUCAAUGUGCCUCUCCUGGAGACGCACUGCCAGACAGAUUUUCUUGUUUGGGGACUUUUCUCGGGGUCAAGUUCAUCCCUGCAAAGCAGCAUUUUAACCACUUCCCUCAGAGUUUAUUUUCAUGGUGACAUUCUUCUCCACUGUGUAUUUGCAUGCAUCUGCCUUUCAGCGAUGUAUUCUUCCCUGGUUUUGAGUUAAUUUUUCUAGUUCCCAGAUCACUUGUCCUCCCAGCUUGUAUCCUGGCCUCUUGGCUUGUCCCUUCUCAAGUUUUCAUGGCAAUUUCUGCUCUUUGACUUCUUGCUACCUUUUCCUCCCCAGAGGGCUCUGUCUUUGGAUGAAUGGAAUGAAAUAGUCCAUGCUUUGCCUCCUUCUGAACACAGCCUGAAAAACAGGAUAGGGAGCAAAAGAAACGCAGUGGUGCUCUUCCUCAAUGAUCCCACUGUGUCCUCUCACUUCAUAGAAUGCCUCUCGAUCUUCCUUGAUAGUUCUUCCUGCACAGGAGUCCUGGGGUGAGACUUUCUUCCUGAAACAUGCAGGAGAUGAGCCCUCAUGGAGCCAGCUCCUGCCUGGCCUACCUGGCUGUCAUUUCAAGGAUGGGUAGUAGUGACAGCACAUCCUCCUGGCCCUGCAAGUGAGGGCCUCUCCAUCCACACCUAGAAACCACACCCUGCAGUGCACAGCUUCUUCCAACACCAGCCUGGGGUGCUGGGCUUGGGUCUGCCCAGAGGGGACCACCUUAUCCAGGGUCUUUGGCACCAUUCCCACACAUUUCUGGUAUUGCCAUGCAGGAUCCCCUCUAGGCCUCCCCUCUGCCAUAACUCCUGGCACACAAGCAGGACAAGGAGCACAUUUCCUCUCUUGCCUCCUCCACACGAGAGCCGGCCCAGCACAGCAGGGUCAGGCCUGCUGUGGUGCAGCCAGCUGAAGGUGCACAGUCCCUGAAGGCCAGAGCUGACCAGCAGCUUCCUCUGCUGGGUGUCCACUCCUGGGGUCAGCCUGCCAUGAGCAUCAGCCCCUGCCGGGUCUGGACACAGUCCCCUCUCCUUGGCUGUAGGAAGAAGGCAGGAUUGCAUUAAUCAUGGACUGAUGCCCAUGGGAACAGGGCAGGAGGAGAACAAGGCUGAGUCAUCCUGGGAGUUUGGGAUGAAUCAGAAUCUGCAAGAGUCUGUCUCCAUGUCCCUCUGAGCCCUGAGACCCCAGGUGCUGAUGCUCAUGCCUCCCUGCAAGAAUUGAGGAGGCCAUGUUGGAGGAUAAUGCCUCUCCACUUCAGAAGCCCUGGGGAACUGACUAAUGUGAAAGGUGGAGCCUGUAUUGUAAUCCUCCAGAAGGCAGCAGAACAGGCUGGAACAACCUCCCACAGCAAUGAGCGCCAUUGUCUCCAGAUAUCUGAAGGAGAAGCAUAAAAUGCCUGAUGGAGGAAACCUCAUCGUGAGGACAAUGGGGAGGCCAGCAGUUACACACAGAGGGUUUUUGAAAUGAGUAUGGAUACUGCAGCCUGCAUCCCCACUUGGCUGAGGGGGAAUAUUGUGUGGAAGACAGAUGGUCAGGAAGUUGGUACCAUCCCUCCCUCCUCUGGUCUCUGGUCUAAACACUUCUAACUCAGCCUCUCUUCAUGUGAAGGACGACCAUCCCAAAGAUGCUCCAUUUGCCUUGUUAAGGCCUAGGAACCUUCUCUCAGUUACUCCUGCCUGGCAAAGAUUGGCUUUGCAAUGAGAUUGGCUAUUUCCUGUCAGUUACUAGGACACACGGUCAGGGAUGUGAUCAGCUUCCUGAGGAACAGUCAGCGUUGUCCCCAUGCCUUUGGGGACUCUCCAGAAAAAAGGCCAUAUUCCCUCUCUGUCUUGGGCACGUUCACUCUGUGUCCUGCUAUUGCUGCCCCUGUGGGACUAGAGGUGCUGCACAAUGGACUGGAGAGGCUCUCUCAGUUGUUGCUCCCAUACAUUGACUGAAGAUGUAUUUGAAUACAAGGACACAGGCUCCCACAGGGUGGGGAUCAGUGCAGAAGCACAUCAUCAAAGUGGGAGUCUUCCCAAGGGAGUUGCGCAAACAAAUGCUAUAAUUGGCCAGCGUUUGCCCUCCUGAACCCGCUGGUUGUGAUCCUGGCUUUUGUUUUUUGCCUUCUCACAUGAUGCUGGCAUCCCAAGAUAUCAGAAUUAUGGCAGAUAAGCAGGCACCCGACCUCUAAUUUGCCAACAUUUCUGCCUCAUUGGGAAGUGUGAGAUCCAACAGAGCCCAUCUCAUCCUUGGGUCCUUCAUAACCUGUUUCAGAAAGCUCCAUGAUAAUAAUCCCGCAGUGUCCUCCUGGAUUUAUUUAAUUUCUCCUGCUGAAAACAAAGCUCAGAAACUGCAGCACAAGCUGCAGAGCCUGACAGCUGCCUCUGUGAGCUGCCCUCACACACUGCUGGGGCUUGGAGCUCUGGGGCUGGUUUCAGGCUGUGAGAGGGCACAACAACCACGCACAGUGGCAGCAACUUUCUCUGGGAUUAAUUCUCUCUUCCUGUGUUAUCCCUGCUGCUAGCACUUGUGCUGUGCUUUCUGCCUUUUGCUUUGUUAGUGUUUCCUUCCAGGCUACUUGCCCUUAUGUCAGUGUUGCAGAUAAGUCUUUCCCUUCAAAUCAUUUGGAAUUUCAAAAACUGGAUAGUUUUUGGCUGAGGUUCAGGUUGAUGGAGAAACUGUCAUCAACCACUGAGAAAGAGAGAAUGUUAAUUUCUGAACAAGAGCACACUUUGCUGUUCUUUGUACUUGGAACCCUCUCUAGCCUUGGCCAUCCCACUUCAUGUUGCUCAGAUGGCCUGGGCAGCAGCAGGUGAUAAAAAUAGGAGUGUGACUGCAAAGAGCUGUGUGAAUUCAAUAGCUGCCACUAUUUGAGGGGGCAUUUGCCUCGAACCACUGCUGUGAAAGAAGACUAUGACCACCAGCUUAACAGUAACCAGGGCAUUAGGAAAAGGUUCCCGAGGCAGAGAAGAAACAGCCUGAAAACAAAUUUUAGAUGAAGCAAGAACAGUUUAAGAGAGAGAGGAGAGGGAAGUGGGAAGGAAGUGGUCACUGAGCCCAGGGUGCUCUGCAACUUGGCCACCUCUGUCUGUAAGAAGCUCCCUGGCAGCUGAGUGCUGUGGGUCACCCCAAUCGGUGCAGCAGGCACAGACCCACAGUUCUGCAAGGUGACAAGGUGAGCCUGUGCUUUCACCUGUGGUUCACAGGCUGCUGGAAGAGGUGUGGAUACUCACGAACCCUACAUCUCCAGAAGGAAGUGUGUGGGACCAGGGGAACCCCUGCUUCCACAAAGGGGAUGUGUUCUUGCAGCUGCACUUCCUGGGGGGCUGGUGAGAGACUGGAGGUCACACAAGUGUUGUUAAUGUGGUUCCAUGUGGAGUGAGAGCUUGUGGACAUUGUUACAUAAAGAUGGUUAGAAAUGUAGGUUCUGAUCCUGCCUGCAGCCUGUUGUGCACAAAAUAAGAGAAUCAGAGAAUGUCUUCUACAGAGAGCUCGGACUUGUCCUCACUUGUAAGCAGUUCUGUGCACUGAUCUUCUGAAGCUUCACCUGAAAUGCCUGUGCUGUUGCUAUGAGCUCUCCUAUUCCUGUGUCUCUGCACCAAUGGAUUCCUCUCAACAGAGAGGAACCAGCUGAUGGAAUAUCUCAGCCAGUUCCAUGUAUGUCCUGCAGAUUUUGGAGUCACAACCAAGUGAGACUUCAUGAUCUGUAAUGUGCAUGGACUCUGACACUGCCCAGCAAUCCUUCUGCCCCACAAUGCCAGGGCAUAUUGAACCCCUUUGGUGAAAGCCCCAACGUCCCUUCCAAAGGAAUUAGCUCAAAGCAGUGUUGGCAAGUUCUCUGUUGUGCUCAGGAAUUCUGGGCUCAGGAUGCACAUGGGCACUGCCCAGACUCAGUCACAGAUAUGCUUUCCUCUCGUUUUUGGCUCCCUUUUGCAGGCUGUGCUCAGUGGGUUUAGCCCUUUGCUAGCAAAUGCCAAAUAUACCUGCCUGUGCAUGUAUUUCCACACACAUGGACCCUCAGCAGGAGAGAGCAGCACCAGAGAGGGAAGGCCAUGUAUGACCUGAGAAACUGCCUGAGACUGUGCAAAGGGGGAUUGUGUGAGCUGCAGAGAUGCUCCUCUUCAUUUCUUUUCCUUUGCCUUGGUGACUUUCUGUGUUGCAAUGAACAUCUUGUGAAAUGUCCUGGCAGGGAAAUGAUGAAAAUUCCCCAAUUUCCAUGUGCUGUGGGGUUCACCAGUGUGGGAGGUGCCCUGUGCAGGAGGAAGGCUGUUUGUGGCCACACUGGUAACAGGGAUCCUUGGAGAAGGGUGAUCCUCUUGUAGAGAUAAUGAAUAGCCAAGGGAGAAUCAGUCCUGGAACUGCAGCAGAAGAGAGAAGCUGCCCCUGGCUGAACAUCUGGGUCUUCCUUAUUUUUGUCCUUCCAAUCAAAGCUGCCCUUGUGACCAUCUGCCUUGUGGCUUUACUUGAUGGAAGCUAUGGCCCAUACAAGACUCUCCUCCAGAACUCUACAGAGUGGUACUGUGUCCCCAGCAGUUCUGCAGAGAAAGUGAAUGGCUGGACUUGCUGCCCAAAGGGCUGGAGAAGGUUUCAAGGAAACUGCUAUUUCCUGUCCCCUGACACGAUGUCAUGGUCUGAGAGUGCACAGAACUGCACUGGGAUGGGCUCCCAGCUGGUGGUGAUCACCAGCAAGGCAGAGCAGGAGUUCCUCUUCAACUUGAUAAAAGAAAAAGUUACUAACAGCUAUGAAACAAAAUACUACAUAGGCUUAGCUGCUUACAAAAAUGGGUGGCAGUGGGUGGAUCAGACUCCAUAUGAAAAUACAGCCACGUUCUGGAAGCCUGGGGAGCCUAAUUUACUCUUUGCAGAAAAAUGUGCUGCAAUUCAUGUCAAGGGAAAAGGAGACCCCAACACUUACAGUAACUGGAAUAAUGUCCUUUGCAUCACAAGUUGCUAUCGAAUUUGUGAGCAGGCAGUCAAGCUUCUCUGAGGAAGGACAUAAAAUCUGAGUUUCAAAGUACCUCAGUUCCCAGCCUGUGCCCCUCCAUCUUCUACAAGCUGGAGGUGGACAUCUUGGCCACAUCCCAGCUGCCUCUCAGAACAAGACCUGGAUGCUUACCGCUCCUUGGCACACUAACUUUCACUUUGGAAUGGAACUUGGGUCUGAGGAAAGGAGCAACAGUGACAUUCACUUCUGAGAACACACACAACAUUGAGUGCAGCUUUUGGAAAAUCUGCUGGUCUCCUGGAAAUGCCUCAGCUGAUCAUGAGGUCCAGCACUUCAGCACCAUCUCCUGCUCACAGCAAGUCACUUGCACUCUCUCGGUGUCACUGUGAUCUACAUGCAUGAGAUCAGGAAGAGAUGCAGAAUGCCUCUGACUCUGUCACUGCAGUCCCUUGUGGUGCAUCGAUGGCUCUACAGCAAGAUGUGCCUCAUCACAAUGGGCCUGCCAGGCAACCAGUGGAAUAUGUCUGACCUUGGUCACCCCCACUGGACCCAACACUGACCUGAGGACUGAUUUCCGUGCCGGACCUCGGAUCUUCCUCAUCCCUGAAGACUUGUCUAGCAAUCUAGAUCCUGGAUCCUGUGCCAGGUGUGUCCUGCUUGCUCCACUCAGGUGUUGUGGCUGGUCCCCAGCUGUCCUGCUGGCUGUGUUACUGCAGCUAGCUCCUGGCCACCGACCCUCGGGGAGUAGCCACCUCCACUGUUCCCUUAGUGUUUGUUGUACCACAGAGCAAAUAGUGAACUGGGAUCCAUUUUAUUUUGUUGUUUUUUGGGGAGGAAGGCAGAUUCUUGUCAGUUUGUUUUACUGAAGUAGCUCUUUACUAUUGAAUAUUGGGUAGAAUUUGCUGCUGAUGGCCACCAUUACUUCUUCACUAUGUUUGUCAUCUCUUUGGUUUCAAUUUUGCUGUUUUUCAUGCUGUUUGUAAAAAAGCCUCUUUUUUUCAGGAAAGACAAACUUACUGUACUCCUUAACAUCCUCCAUGAGCUCCUCCGUAUUCCUGACAACCAUAACCAACUUUAAAAGUCAUGUUCCAGUAGCUUUUAAUAGGAUUUCAGUAUCUUUGGUUCUUUUUCCUUCAGGGACAAUUCAACAGGCUGAACUGCUUCCUUAUAGCUCCAAAGUAGUGCAGAAGGGAUAUAGAGCCAUUCACAUCUUUGAAGUGGUGCUAUACUCCCCGUGUUUUAGCAGGUCUGAGGGAAGCAGGAAGAGUUUUAUAUGUUGGGUUCCACCAGAGGCCACGCAGUGCUGCCCGGAUCUGUGCACAGGAUUUGCAGUGUCUGUGCAAAGGGCUGGUUAUCUUAUGAGAAGGAGCCAUGUAAAUCAAUCCAGAAGCAACUGCUAUGUAAUCUCAACACAAUUGCUGCACAGCCACUGACAGAUUACAACUUUAGUGUUGGAUUCGGCGCUAUACAAGGCCAGAUGUAAUGAAUGAUUAAUAAAAUCCUUCUGACAUAAAGACAUGCUUGGAGAAGCAAAUGCAGUAUGGAAACACGACACUCACUUUUCAUGGAAUCAUGGAAUGAUUUGGGUUGAAAGAGACCUUGUGGCAUUCACAUUCUCUGGACAGAGAGACAUAAUUCUGUCUCUCAGGAGAAACACAGAGAGAAGAAAAGAAAACAAUCUUUAUCUCUGCUUGGUUUUCUCCAUAUGGAAUGUGGUAUGGAGAUUGUUUACCUGAAGUGAUUGCUGGAUUGCUGAAGUGAUUGCUGGAUUGGGUUCUGGUGAGGGUUGUUUGGGUUCAAUGACCAAUUGGAUCCAGCUGUGUCUCAGACUCUCAGCAGAGAGUCGCGAGUUUGUUAGUUGUUAGGUAAGCAAGAAGAAAGUAUGUAGAAUAGUAUAGUAUCUUUUUAAAUAGUAUAUUAAUGUAUUAUAGUAUAGUUUCAAUAAAGCUAUCCUUCAACCUUC